UUAACCAAUGUUAAGAAUAAAAUAGUGUC
rnacentral:sRNA from 1 species